CACGUAGGGUGCGAGCGUUGUCCGGAAUUAUUGGGCGUAAAGAGCUCGUAGGCGGUGUGUCGCGUCCGGCCGUGAAAACCUGCAGCUUAACUGUGGGCUUGCGGUCGAUACGGGCAUCACUGGAGUUCGGCAGGGGAGACUGGAAUUCCUGGUGUAGCGGUGAAAUGCGCAGAUAUCAGGAGGAACACCGGUGGCGAAGGCGGGUCUCUGGGCC
rnacentral:rRNA from 1 species